GACCGCUACGGUGGCCUUGUGGUUAGAGCGUCCGCCCCGGAUGCUAGAGGUCGUGGGUUCAAACCCCGAUCGAGUCA